rnacentral:rRNA from 1 species
AGAGUUUGAUCAUGGCUCAGGAUGAACGCUAGCGGCAGGCCUAAUACAUGCAAGUCGAGGGGCAGCAGUACUUUUCGGAGUAGCUGGCGACCGGCGCACGGGUGCGUAACGCGUAUGCAAUCUACCCACUGCACAGGGAUAGCCCGUGGAAACAUGGAUUAAUACCUGAUAAUACAGGGAGCCCACCUGGGCAUAUUGUUAAAGUUUUAACGGCAGUGGAUGAGCAUGCGUCCCAUUAGCUAGUUGGUAAGAUAACGGCUUACCAAGGCGAUGAUGGGUAGGGGUUCUGAGAGGAUGAUCCCCCACACUGGUACUGAGAUACGGACCAGACUCCUACGGGAGGCAGCAGUAGGGAAUAUUGGUCAAUGGACGCAAGUCUGAACCAGCCAUGCCGCGUGCAGGAAGACGGCCUUCUGGGUUGUAAACUGCUUUUCUCAGGGAAGAAAACGCUCUUGCGAGAGUACUUGCCGGUACCUGAGGAAUAAGCACCGGCCAACUCCGUGCCAGCAGCCGCGGUAAUACGGAGGGUGCAAGCGUUGUCCGGAUUUAUUGGGUUUAAAGGGUGCGUAGGCGGCCUAUUAAGUCAGUGGUGAAAGGUAUCAGCUUAGCUGAUGACGUGCCAUUGAAACUGAUGGGCUUGAGUACAGACGAGGUAGGCGGAAUUUAUGGUGUAGCGGUGAAAUGCAUAGAUACCAUAAAGAACACCGAUAGCGAAGGCAGCUUACUAGACUGAGACUGACGCUGAGGCACGAAAGCGUGGGGAGCGAACAGGAUUAGAUACCCUGGUAGUCCACGCCGUAAACGAUGAUUACUGGAUGUGUGCGAUACAUAGUACGCGUCUGA